AUCACAUUCACUUGAAGUCAAAUGAAUGACCAGAGUGUGAAAUGGAACUGAAUCUUCUCUGAUAUUCCUGAUGCCAAGGUUUAAUUGGCGCUUCAUUAUGAGGAUGCCAACAAUAACUCCUCAACACACCUGUCAAUCGGCUUGGGUGGCAUUUGCACAGCGAAUUCUCCUCAAACGGCGAAGCAUUGUCACAACAAAGCUGUGGCUCCUGAAUCAAUUAAUGGAUUUCUUGUGGUAGCAGCUGCCAGGUUUCUCCCAGGACUGAGAAGGCCUCUCGUUCUUUUACAGCUUCAUCAUCACUUUGAAUGAAUCCUGUGGCAAACUGACAAAAGUGACACAGGACUGUCUACUGGACCUUCAAAGGGAGAGGGAGACAGGAAGACAGGAGACGAGGGGGACAAGGAGAGAGAUGUUUGCAAAUGACUGUGGAUCGAUGUCUCAAAUGAAGAAAAAUGGCUGCAUGGCACUGAGGUCUUCCAGCUACUUAUGAGCCUUUAAACAGGCAGGACCUGUGGGAGGAUAAACAUUUGCUCAAAUUCUUCUGAGGAUACUGAGCCUGAAGGUGGCGCCAUUUCACAUGUAGCAUGAAAUGGUCAAACUGUAACUCCGAGGAAUUCACACUCGACUACCAGAGAGCCCUUUUUAACCGUAAUCUAUGCUGUUCUGUCAGGCUCUUUGCAUCAAUUGUAAAUGUAUGUGCAAUGUGUGGUGAAGUUUGCAAAUCUGCUGCUAAUUCUACUUGGAAAGUGUUGGUGAUCAGGCUGUUCGGAAAGCAGAUGUCAGUGUGGAAGUCAGAAGUCAUGAGCACGCUCACUGCUGGCUGAGGAGCUGGGAAGUGAACAGACAUCCCAAGAUGCAUUUGGCUCUGGCUCAAACAUUCAUCUCAGCCCAAGCAUGAAUGUUCAUGUUGGCCAGUUUUCCGUUUUCACAGCAAUCAGAUUGUCAGAGGAGUUACAAAUAAAAAGCCAUGUUGCAGAAUCACCUUUCAGCCUGUGCAGCUGCAGCACUCUGUGAAAGUUCACAUCUUCAUAACUGUAACAAUGUUAGUAAUGAAAUGAUUCAUGACAAAUAAUUGAUAAAUUGUAAGGCUUCAAAUUAUAGUUACUCAAACUAAUAUGAGUGUCUCAACUUAAAAAAAUGACAGCAUAACAGGCAGGGAAUAUAUUACAACAAUAAUUAAAAUUGUGUACUAAUUUUAAUCCUAUUUAAACCCACUAGAAUUUGCUAUGAGGUUUGUUUGCUUGUUUGUUUUAUUUAUGUUUGUAUUUUUAUAAAGGUUUAAAUGGAAUGAUGCUUUGCUUAAAAAUAUAUAUUGACCGGAUAUUACACAAUAUCUGGUCAGUAAUUUUUUUGCAGCAUAAACAGACAAUUCAAUUGAAUUUUAUUAUCACAACACAUACAAACUUAUGUUAAUUACUUGGUAUUAUGUAUGAGGUAGUAUAUAUUAAAUAAGUACAUUGCGUCAUCGUUUCAAAUGUAGGGUCACCUCACCAUUUUUAUCUCACAUUAGGUUGAAGUCGUUGACCUGAUCCCUUUUAGA